ensembl:lncRNA
CAAUAACCCGACGGACCAGUUGCAGGAACCAAAAUAUACUAAGAAUUGCGCUGGGAGACACUUAAAAGAAGUGGAGGAUCGAUCGGUUUUGUGAGGAAAGAAAAGAUGAGAGUAGCUUCACGGAUCCUUCAUACUCCACAAUUCACUCACCUGGAUGCUGUUCAACCCUGGAAACUGACUGUUGGUUCAUGCUCAGAGACUCAUCACUCUUCACCUGCCUGCCCUCCUGCUACUGCAGUCCCAGAUCACUGGAUCAUUCAGGUUGGACUCUGCUCACUCUCAUCCCGUCUGGACACUUACCUGGCCAACACUGCCUCCCCCCUAGGCACUCUCUACCUACUAGCAAAAGACCCUCGUUCAAGUCUCAUGUGCCACGAACUAUUUCCUGACCAUUGUUCCAGUUUCACGCUCCAUGCAUUAUUCCUUUGAUUGUUGCCUUCUUUUGUUUUUGUAAAUAAAGUCUCAUUAACCCUGA